UUUGCAAAGUUAACAUCACUAAGACACUACCCACUCCCACCACCAACUCCCUGCAAAAAGCAUGCCUACUGCAGCACACCCACUGAUAUACUUCACCCAUCCCCUUCCACUUCUACUCAAUCUCCCACACAAUUUGCCAUAUUUCACUCUCACAAGGAAACCCAACGAACAAGUGCAGAGGUAAGAACUGCAAUCAUAAUUUCAUAAUUUAUUUCUUACAACACAAACUCUCCACCUCAAUGAAUAUACCAUAUGUGAAUCAAUUUCAGCUACCACACAAAUUCAAGCAAACCGACCCAGCCGAAACCUUUCUAAAGGUUUUACUUCUAAAUCCUUAUUCCAUUUUAUUGUAGUUCUUAAUUGAGCCAAAAGCAAGGAGGCAUAAGCAUACAUUCAUUCAUCUCAUCGUCAGUGCAUAUCUUUUAUGCAUAUCGAAUUAAAGCACAGAGACACAAGCAUACAUUUAUACAUCAUUCGAGUAAUAAAAAAAUAAUUUGAGAAAAAGUUUGUAGCUUUGAAUCUCCUUAUUUCCAUACUUGCUGUGUCGAGUCGGGUUGCUUGGUUGCUAGCUGAGAAAGUCGAGAGAAUGAGGGAGAGGCCAGGGCACGGCGGCUCCGCCACUCCUGUCCGGCCAAGGGCAGGGACGAGGGAGAGUCGAGGGUGAUGUUCUGGUAAAGAGAGAGAGAGGGAUGAGGAGGCGGUGGAUGGCUUUCUGUUGAUGCUGUUGUUGACGGUUGAAUCGAGUCGGGGGAAGAGGGUGGCGGCCGUGGCACUGCCGCAGUUGCCGGAGUUCUGUGAGGGUGGCUUCUGAGAGGGCAGGUUCGGAGAAGAGGUAGGUGGAUGCCGGUGGCGUGGAGCUACUGGUAAUCGCCGGUCAAGCUUGAGCAUGAGAGAGACGGUGGUGGCGGUUUUGGCCGCUGCUCGCCGGAGGUUGCAGGAGGCAGGGGUUAUAGCUCGAGUUCUGGGGAUUUAGGGAGAGGGCUCGACGGCUCUGCUGUCAUUCCGAGCGGGCUAGGCGAGAGACGAGCGAGGGAGAGGGAGCUGUGCAACGGCGGCUGUCGCUUUACCGGCGGCUGCUGCUGCGGCGCUGAGUAUGUGGGAGUGAGCGAAAAGCGAAAAAGAGAGGACGGGGAUGAGAGUCGAGGGUUCCGGAGGGGCUGCGCUCUCGCCGGUGACGGAGGCGGCGCUUCGCCGAAGAAGAAGGGAGGGGCGCCGAUUGAGAGAUGUGUGAGUGUGUGCGUGUGUUUGUGAGAGGGGAGAAAUAAGGGAGGGAGUGUUGGGCUUUAGGUUUGGGUUAGGGGUUGGGCUUUGAAGUGUUGGGCCUUUGUUUUAAAUUUUGACUUGGGCCGAUUUUAAUUGAGGGUGGGCUUGCGAAUUGGGCUCAAUUUAUUUAAUUAGUUAUGGGCCGAUUUUUAUAAGUACUUGGGCCGAGAUUUUUAAUUAAAUGGGCUGGGUUAUUUCUUAAUUUUGGGCCGAUUUUCUAUAUUAAGCUGGGCCUUUGAUUAUUUUAAAUCAUGGGCUGCCCAAGUAUUUAUUUAAUUGGAUUUGUACAGAUUUUAUUUAAAGGAGCUACACUAUUAUAAUUAAUUAGACUUAUUAAGUUUAAUUAAUUAUUUUCAAAGAGUAAAUUUUUAUAAUAAUAUUAAAUUAUUAUUAUAAGCAUAUUUUAAGUAAAUUACUUAUUAUAUGCUAAGCAUGACAAGAUUUGCAUUAUAUUUUGCAAUAAGAAUAUUUAUGAUUUAAUUGGUUUUAUUUAUAAUUCCAAUUAUUAAAAGAUGAGUAAGAAUAUUGUUGGUGUUCUUAACUCAAGAGAAAAUGUUUUCAAUUAUUUAUUCAUUAAAUUUUGAAAACCCGGCUAAGUGAAUCAUAGAAUAUUAAGCACUACACCAUGACUUAAGAUUAGAAUUCAAGGAGACCUAUUGAGAAUAGAUUUCUUGUAGGCUUUGAGCAACAGGAGGAUUAGCACUGCUAUUCCGAUUCAGAGAUAAGGAUAAACGACAGGCUUUGCCUAAUCAGGUUGAGCAGUUGAUGGAAUGGAAUGAUGUUGAGCGGGUGUUCCUUUGACAUUUCAAGAAAUGUAACCUUGAGUAUACAUCUUCAUAUGUAUAUCUCACACGCUUUCCGCUGCAAAACACUUUGAUUAAGAUAGCUCUAUGAUAUGAAGUUGUGAUACGUGUUAUUGGGUAACCACCUUAAUCAGUUCUCAAUUAUGUGUAUCCAAAUAAUCAUAUAUGAUCCUAGCAUUUUAUCUAUGAGUGACAUUUCCAUAUACUUUAAUGUUAAGUAAUUGUCCAUUUCCA